UCAAGGCUGACAGGGAUAAUGCAGAGACCUGGAAGUCAAAUAAAAAGCAGAAGUGACUAACUGGCAGGAGCAGAAGCUGCUCAUUUGGAAAGGAUCUUCCCUGCAAAGCUGAAAUGUGCAAACACAAAUCAAGGGAUAAUUUCAUCCCAAAUGUACCAUUCUUCUUUUGUCUGAACAAGUGACUUAAAAACCAUCUGGAGCCUUGCCAAGCACAGAGAGAAAAAUUUAUUGGCUGUGAUAUCACACUGGAAA